AGCAGAGCAGGAGGGAGCCGAGCGAGAGCCCGAGCUGAGCCGUGCGGGGGGACGGAGGACGCGGACGGGGAAGUUCUAACAGGAACAAAGGAAGCUGGAAGGACCCAGAGGUUUAAGCCACAACCCUUUGGAAGCAAGAGGUGCUCAGAAGGUUGUGCUGCUGUGACUCCUCCGAGCUGGCAGCUGGAUCUGUGCUCCAGCCCCUUCCCAAAGCUAUUAGAGGAAAUCUUUCCCAUCGACUGGAGCAGUGUGGGAGCCUCCACGGGGCCGUGAGAGCAGCCCAAUUUACUGAUCACGAGGCAGUUUUAAUAUUUCUCCAAUAACACCUUGCAGAAAGAGCUGGAAAGUGAGUUAUGGGGCACAAAACAGCUUAAUUUUCCAGGCAGAGGGAGCUACCACAGAUGUUGCUUCUUUGCUGCUUCUGCAACACCUUUGCCUUCCCAGAAAUAGCUCCGAAGCGUUGCUGAUCUCCAGGAGGUUGAUUCCCAGUGCCUGCC